rnacentral:rRNA from 1 species
AUGUUCACAUUCACUGACAAGCUAAUGGCGUGCCUUGGAGAAAUGUGUACAUGUUGUAAAGCACACGGACGGAAAAUGUGUGUCCUCAAGAGCGAAGACAAAACCAUAGACGAACCGCCCCCAACUCCAUCAACUGAACAACUAAGCACUCCACUAGUCACCAAGAUUGGACCACGCCUUCCUGCACCAGGAAUGCCAGAAGGUCAAGUGUCUGCUACUAGUUUAGUUUCUAGGAAAAGGGAUGGAAGCCUAUCAUCAAGUAUGCAGUCCGGUCCAUCUAAGAGACUUUGUUUACCAGCCUCCAUUGGAGAAGAUGACCUUUGCCAAAAACAGAGACCAAUAGCCGAAGAUUCUACACUUAUGGACAUCGCUAGCAGCAUCCUGUCAAUGUAUGAUGAUCUAACAGCCGUCCUUGUCACUUAUUAUGCCGAGAUCCGUCCAGCACCCACGGCGAUCUUGUUUGGCGCAACAAUAGACGGAGCACCUGUGAAGAUUGACCUGGCAUAG